UUGAAGAGUUUGAUCAUGGCUCAGAUUGAACGCUGGCGGCAGGCCUAACACAUGCAAGUCGAACGGUAACAGGAAGCAGCUUGCUGCUUUGCUGACGAGUGGCGGACGGGUGAGUAAUGUCUGGGAAACUGCCUGAUGGAGGGGGAUAACUACUGGAAACGGUAGCUAAUACCGCAUAACGUCGCAAGACCAAAGAGGGGGACCUUCGGGCCUCUUGCCAUCGGAUGUGCCCAGAUGGGAUUAGCUUGUUGGUGGGGUAACGGCUCACCAAGGCGACGAUCCCUAGCUGGUCUGAGAGGAUGACCAGCCACACUGGAACUGAGACACGGUCCAGACUCCUACGGGAGGCAGCAGUGGGGAAUAUUGCACAAUGGGCGCAAGCCUGAUGCAGCCAUGCCGCGUGUAUGAAGAAGGCCUUCGGGUUGUAAAGUACUUUCAGCGGGGAGGAAGGGAGUAAAGUUAAUACCUUUACUCAUUGACGUUACCCGCAGAAGAAGCACCGGCUAACUCCGUGCCAGCAGCCGCGGUAAUACGGAGGGUGCAAGCGUUAAUCGGAAUUACUGGGCGUAAAGCGCACGCAGGCGGUUUGUUAAGUCAGAUGUGAAAUCCCCGGGCUCAACCUGGGAACUGCAUCUGAUACUGGCAAGCUUGAGUCUCGUAGAGGGGGGUAGAAUUCCAGGUGUAGCGGUGAAAUGCGUAGAGAUCUGGAGGAAUACCGGUGGCGAAGGCGGCCCCCUGGACGAAGACUGACGCUCAGGUGCGAAAGCGUGGGGAGCAAACAGGAUUAGAUACCCUGGUAGUCCACGCCGUAAACGAUGUCGACUUGGAGGUUGUGCCCUUGAGGCGUGGCUUCCGGAGCUAACGCGUUAAGUCGACCGCCUGGGGAGUACGGCCGCAAGGUUAAAACUCAAAUGAAUUGACGGGGGCCCGCACAAGCGGUGGAGCAUGUGGUUUAAUUCGAUGCAACGCGAAGAACCUUACCUGGUCUUGACAUCCACAGAACUUUCCAGAGAUGGAUUGGUGCCUUCGGGAACUGUGAGACAGGUGCUGCAUGGCUGUCGUCAGCUCGUGUUGUGAAAUGUUGGGUUAAGUCCCGCAACGAGCGCAACCCUUAUCCUUUGUUGCCAGCGGUCCGGCCGGGAACUCAAAGGAGACUGCCAGUGAUAAACUGGAGGAAGGUGGGGAUGACGUCAAGUCAUCAUGGCCCUUACGACCAGGGCUACACACGUGCUACAAUGGCGCAUACAAAGAGAAGCGACCUCGCGAGAGCAAGCGGACCUCAUAAAGUGCGUCGUAGUCCGGAUUGGAGUCUGCAACUCGACUCCAUGAAGUCGGAAUCGCUAGUAAUCGUGGAUCAGAAUGCCACGGUGAAUACGUUCCCGGGCCUUGUACACACCGCCCGUCACACCAUGGGAGUGGGUUGCAAAAGAAGUAGGUAGCUUAACCUUCGGGAGGGCGCUUACCACUUUGUGAUUCAUGACUGGGGUGAAGUCGUAACAAGGUAACCGUAGGGGAACCUGCGGUUGGAUCACCUCCUU
rnacentral:rRNA from 1 species